AUUGAACGCUGGCGGCAUGCUUUACACAUGCAAGUCGAACGGCAGCGCGGGCUUCGGCCUGGCGGCGAGUGGCGAACGGGUGAGUAAUACAUCGGAACGUGCCCAGUAGUGGGGGAUAGCUCGGCGAACGCCGGAUUAAUACCGCAUACGACCUGCGGGUGAAAGCGGGGGAUCUUCGGACCUCGCGCUAUUGGAGCGGCCGAUGGCCGAUUAGCUAGUUGGUGGGGUAAAGGCCUACCAAGGCGACGAUCCGUAGCUGGUCUGAGAGGACGACCAGCCACACUGGGACUGAGACACGGCCCAGACUCCUACGGGAGGCAGCAGUGGGGAAUUUUGGACAAUGGGCGAAAGCCUGAUCCAGCAAUGCCGCGUGUGUGAUGAAGGCCUUCGGGUUGUAAAGCACUUUUGGCGGGAACGAAAAGGACUGUGCCAAUACCACGGCUCGAUGACGGUACCCGCAGAAUAAGCACCGGCUAACUACGUG
rnacentral:rRNA from 1 species